AUCGUGCGUGCCCUUGUGAGUUUGGAGGGUGCCGGUCAACGAAGCCACGCGAGGUAUUUGAAAGGCAAUCAGCCCGACCGUCCCCCUAGAUUCAUCGUUUUGCGAGGUGGCUGUGACCGCUGUCGACAAGUGCUUUCUCAGCCGCAACCCAGCUGAAAGAGUUAAGGGGCCCGGGAGGAGGAGUGCGCCCGGGAGAAGGAACUCAGUGAAUAUUGCCCUGGGUCCUGGUAAUUCCACCUACUGAAGACAACUGCCCCUUCUGCUCAUAUUUCCUGAGUCAACAUGGCCGUUCCUAACUUUGAAGAGACUUUAGACAUUCUUUGUUACAAUGAACCUAGAAGAA
ensembl:lincRNA Pantr1 POU domain, class 3, transcription factor 3 adjacent noncoding transcript 1